rnacentral:rRNA from 1 species
AGAGUUUGAUCAUGGCUCAGGAUGAACGCUAGCGGCAGGCCUAAUACAUGCAAGACGAACGGUAAGUUUGAGUAGCAAUACUAGCCAAGAGUGUCGUACGGGUGCGUAACACGUAUGCAACUACCCUAUACAGGAGGAUAGCCUAGGGAAACCUGAUUAACCCUUCAUAGUAUUAUUGGAUGGCAUCAUUUGAUAGUUAAAACUGAGGUGGUAUAGGAUGGGCAUGCGUCUGAUUAGUUAGUUGGCGGGGUAAUGGCCCACCAAGACGAUGAUCAGUAGGGGUUCUGAGAGGAAGAUCCCCCCACACUGGCACUGAGAUACGGGCCAGACUCCUACGGGAGGCAGCAGUAGGGAAUAUUGGUCAAUGGAUGCAAGUCUGAACCAGCCAUGCCGCGUGCAGGAAGAAGGCCUUCUGGGUUGUAAACUGCUUUUGCCAGGGGAUAAAAUUUCCAUGCGUGGAAAACUGAAGGUACCUGGUGAAUAAGCCACGGCUAACUACGUG